rnacentral:rRNA from 1 species
AUUGAACGCUGGCGGCAGGCUUAACACAUGCAAGUCGAGCGGGCGAGGUUGCUUCGGUAACUGAGCUAGCGGCGGACGGGUGAGUAAUGCUUAGGAAUCUGCCUAUUAGUGGGGGACAACAUUCCGAAAGGGAUGCUAAUACCGCAUACGUCCUACGGGAGAAAGCAGGGGCUCUUUAUGACCUUGCGCUAAUAGAUGAGCCUAGGUCGGAUUAGCUAGUUGGUGGGGUAAAGGCCUACCAAGGCGACGAUCUGUAGCGGGUCUGAGAGGAUGAUCCGCCACACUGGGACUGAGACACGGCCCAGACUCCUACGGGAGGCAGCAGUGGGGAAUAUUGGACAAUGGGGGGAACCCUGAUCCAGCCAUGCCGCGUGUGUGAAGAAGGCCUUUUGGUUGUAAAGCACUUUAAGUGGGGAGGAGGCUUACCUGGUUAAUACCUGGGCUAAGUGGACGUUACCCACAGAAUAAGCACCGGCUAACUCUGUGCCAGCCGCCGCAGUAAUAC